GUGGCAACCUCGAAGAGGAGCCAUGCUUCUCAGCCCUGGGACUCAGGAAGGAACACAAGAGAGCUGUCACCCGCACAAUUAGAUGGCCGUGUUUCUGUGGAGAGGGGAGGUGUAUCCGGAAGUUAGCCUCCCCGGGAUCAUCAUCCACUACAAUGGAAAUAGCCUGAGUUUCUGUAGUGGGCUAUGAAGGAGAGUCAGCUUGCUGAUGAUCUGCAGAACCUGGGGCCAGAGCCAACUACACUUUCUUGGAAAGGAUACAAAUGGAAAGAAAAUGGACAUAAAAGAGGACCAGAUCAAAACAAGUAGUGAAGUGGCAGGUACCAUCCAGAGGGAGCAGCCACUUCA